UUAACAGAUGAUGAUAAUUUCGUCGAGUUAAUAUUAUACUUUUGUUUCAUAUAGGUUAUCGUAAAUCAGAAAUAAAAUGCAUAUUUGAUACAAAUUUGGUUCAGGAAGAUGCAUAGCCCAAGCUGUGCGACCCGAUCUCGCCAUGGCCUAGUCGAGCCCAUCAUCUCGCAAGCAUCUCCACGUGCAAGCCGCAUCCCCUCAACCAGAUUUCACCCACCUCAACCAUUCACGAGUCCAAAGAACUGUGAUCUUUCCCCCAAAUCAGGAUAUGUGAUCUGAUCUCCCGCACCCAAUCUCCAGCUCCUCUCACGCGUGCAUCCCCUGUUUCCGCUCACCCAAAUUUCGUCCGCCCGCGAUCGCCUCCCAGCAGCCCGUGAACAGCUCCCGUGCACAAUCACAGCGUCCGUCCGAGCUUCUCCCCAGCGAUGCAACCAUUUCCAUCUCCAGCCCGCGAUCAACGCUCCCAUGCUUCAGCCCGUAAUCAUCUCCUCCUUUCACCAGCGUCGGAUCCAGCCGUCCCCAGCAUCCCGUGAAUGGUCCCAGCGUCCGCGAAGCACCCGCGAUCAACUCCCGUCUUCGUCCGCGGCUUCCAGCAAUUUUCUCAGAUCCACAUCGUCCGCCCGCCUCUUCCGCCCGUCCAACUUCCGUUUCAACAUUCUCCCAGCAUCAUAACCGGAAACAGCAUCCGAGCAACCCGCGGCCAGCCGGGAUCCACCUCCCUGAUGACCGUUUUCUCCCAGAUUUCAUGAUCCCUUCCCGCAUCUCCUCCAUCGUCCGACUGAUCCUCCCACGUCUUCUCC
rnacentral:lncRNA from 1 species